rnacentral:rRNA from 1 species
CCUGCCCAGUGAAAGUUAAACGGCCGCGCAAGUGCUAAGGUAGCAUAAUCAUUUGCCUUUUAAUUGGAGGCUAGAAUGAACGGAAUUAUAAAUUAUUGCUUUAUUAUAAAUACGCAUAAAAACUAAAAUUUAUGUGAAAAUACAUAAAUACAAAAAAAAGACCAAAAGACCCUAGGAGCUUAAAUUUUAAUACCCUGUCAACCUGGCUAAAAAUUUUUAUUGGGGCGAUAAGGGAUAUCCAUCCCGCUUCUAAUAACCCUAUCCUUUCAAAGGUGAGUUUAGCUACCCUAGGGAUAACAGGCUACUCUUUUUUAAAAGUCCACAUUUACAAAAAGAUCUUGCACCUCGAUGUUGGCUUAGGAAUAUGUAAAAUGCAGCAGUUUUAUUGAAUGGCUU